GACGAACGCUGGCGGCGUGCUUAACACAUGCAAGUCGAACGAAGAGCGAUGGAAGCUUGCUUCUAUCAAUCUUAGUGGCGAACGGGUGAGUAACGCGUAAUCAACCUGCCCUUCAGAGGGGGACAACAGUUGGAAACGACUGCUAAUACCGCAUACGAUCUAACCUCGGCAUCGAGGAUAGAUGAAAGGUGGCCUCUACAUGUAAGCUAUCACUGAAGGAGGGGAUUGCGUCUGAUUAGCUAGUUGGAGGGGUAACGGCCCACCAAGGCGAUGAUCAGUAGCCGGUCUGAGAGGAUGAACGGCCACAUUGGGACUGAGACACGGCCCAGACUCCUACGGGAGGCAGCAGUGGGGAAUCUUCCGCAAUGGACGAAAGUCUGACGGAGCAACGCCGCGUGAGUGAUGACGGCCUUCGGGUUGUAAAGCUCUGUUAAUCGGGACGAAAGGCCUUCUUGCGAAUAGGGAGAAGGAUUGACGGUACCGGAAGAGAAAGCCACGGCUAACUACGUG
rnacentral:rRNA from 1 species